rnacentral:rRNA from 1 species
UACGAAGGGGGCUAGCGUUGCUCGGAAUUACUGGGCGUAAAGGGCGCGUAGGCGGACAGUUUAGUCAGAGGUGAAAGCCCAGGGCUCAACCUUGGAAAUUGCCUUUGAUACUGGCGAGCUGGAGUGCGUGAGGGGUGACCGGAACGAGUGGUGUAGCGGUGAAAUGCGUAGAUAUCACUCGGAAGGCCAACGGCGAAGGCAGGUCGACUGGUGCGCAACUGACGCUGAGGCACGAAAGCGUGGGGAGCAAACAGG